GACGAACGCUGGCGGCGUGCUUAACACAUGCAAGUCGAACGGAAAGGCCCUGCUUUUGCGGGGUGCUCGAGUGGCGAACGGGUGAGUAACACGUGAGUAACCUGCCCUUGACUUUGGGAUAACUUCAGGAAACUGGGGCUAAUACCGGAUAUGAGCUCCUGCUGCAUGGUGGUGGUUGGAAAGUUUCGGCGGUUGGGGAUGGACUCGCGGCUUAUCAGCUUGUUGGUGGGGUAGUGGCUUACCAAGGCUUUGACGGGUAGCCGGCCUGAGCGGGUGACCGGCCACAUUGGGACUGAGAUACGGCACAGACACCUAAGGGAGGAAGCAGUGGGGAAUAUUGAAGAAGGGGCGGAAGCCUGAUGAAGAAACGCCGCGUGCGGGAUGACGGCCUUAGGGUUGUAAACCGAUUUCGCCUGUGACGAAGCGUGAGUGAAGGUAAUGGGUAAAGAAGCACCGGCUAAAUAAGUG
rnacentral:rRNA from 1 species